GUGGCGUUUGCAGAGGUGUUGAUGCAACAAUUCUGCAUGGGACUGGAUUGCAAAUCCCACUAUGCUAAGUAUUUGUUCAGGAGGAAAACAAUGGUGUGGGGAGUGAUCUCGUUGGGCGUCUAAGCCCAAAGUCCAAAGCCAGACCAGGAAAUAGGGGGAAAACUGAAAUGGAAGAUGCAAGAAGUAGUUUCAAUGGGCUUGAGGCCACUGAGGCAAGCUAAACCAACGUGAGAGGGGUAAUUCAGGGCUUGCGUUCAGUCAGAUUUCUUGCUUAAACGUGUUUCAUUUUGUCCCAUGCCAAAAACUCCGUCGUGUUAGAAAUCUCCUCUGGCGGCGACGAGCCAAUCCCUACAAACCUCACAUUAAUUUUCUCGUUAUCUCCUCCUCUUCCAUAAUCCGUAAUCCUUAUCUCCUAAUUCCUAUCCAAAAACACAAAUUGAACCACACAGAGUACGAACCAUAAAACGGAUAACCAAAAUUAAGCAACCGUAGAGAUGGAAUCAAAGCCUAUAGCAUUGGGGCUUUGAUUUCUUGGAUUGAAGACUACAUGAUGGUAUGAAGUUUAGAGAAAAUGGAGGAAAAAGAGGAGAAUCACCAACUUGCAAGAACAAUAUCCAUCUUGGAUUUUAUUACCGCUGAAGAUGAAGUAUGCACAGAGAAUACCAUAGAAUCGAACAGAUGGCUUGGUGUGCAAGGCUUUGUUCAAGGUGGGCAUAACAUGACUCAAGGUGUGAAUUAUGAAGAAACAUAUGGCGGAAGAGAUAUUCAAUGGCUUGUAAAUGAAGGAACAAGUAGGACAUGGUUUAGGUUUAGGUAGUUGACUUUGGUAAACUUGUUGACCAAAAAGUCAAUCGUUGACCAAAGUCAACUAUAGGUCAAAGUUGUAUUUUUUUUUUGUAGGUUUUGGGUUUUUGCAAUGAUUUGUGAUGUAAUUGGAUAUUUGGAAAUGCAAACCUUGAGGACUUUGUAAUGAAUUUGUAACUUGAUCUUUGAAUGAUUUUUCUCCAA